AUUGAACGCUGGCGGCAGGCUUAACACAUGCAAGUCGAGCGAGCGGCGGACGGGUGAGUAAUGUCUGGGAAACUGCCUGAUGGAGGGGGAUAACUACUGGAAACGGUAGCUAAUACCGCAUACCAUCAGAUGUGCCUAGAUGGGAUUAGCUAGUAGGUGGGGUAAUGGCUCACCUAGGCGAAGAUCCCUAGCUGGUCUGAGAGGAGGACCGGCCACACUGGGACGGAGACAAGGCCCAGACUCCUCCGGGAGGAAGCAGUGGGGAAGUUUGCACAAUGGGCGCAAGCCUGAUGCAGCAAUGCCGCGUGUAUGAAGAAGGCCUUAGGGUUGUAAAGUACUUUCAGCGGGGAGGCGUUACCCGCAGAGGAAGCACCGGCUAACUCCGUGCCAGCAGCCGCGGUAAUAC
rnacentral:rRNA from 1 species